UACGUAGGGUGCAAGCGUUGUCCGGAAUUAUUGGGCGUAAAGAGCUCGUAGGCGGUCUGUCGCGUCGGCUGUGAAAACCCGGAGCUCAACUCCGGGCCUGCAGUCGAUACGGGCAGACUGGAGUUCGGCAGGGGAGACUGGAAUUCCUGGUGUAGCGGUGAAAUGCGCAGAUAUCAGGAGGAACACCGGUGGCGAAGGCGGGUCUCUGGGCCGAUACUGACACUGAGGCACGAAAGCGUGGGGAGCAAACAGG
rnacentral:rRNA from 1 species